GACGAACGCUGGCGGCGUGCUUAACACAUGCAAGUCGAGCGGUAAGGCCCUUUCGGGGGUACACGAGCGGCGAACGGGUGAGUAGCACGUGGGUGACCUGCCCUCAGCUCUGGGAUAAGCCUGGGAAACUGGGUCUAAUACUGGAUAUGACUCCACGGUGCAUGUCGUGGGGUGGAAAGCCUUGUGCGGCUGAGGAUGGGCCCGCGGCCUAUCAGCUUGUUGGUGGGGUGAUGGCCUACCAAGGCGACGACGGGUAGCCGGCCUGAGAGGGCGACCGGCCACACUGGGACUGAGAUACGGCCCAGACUCCUACGGGAGGCAGCAGUGGGGAAUCUUGCGCAAUGGGCGAAAGCCUGACGCAGCGACGCCGCGUGAGGGAUGACGGCCU
rnacentral:rRNA from 1 species